GUUUCCUCCCACCAUUCUAGAUUAUUUUCGAAAUGAUUUUUUUUUAAUUUCCAGUUCCCCCAAAAGCUUUCGAACGUAUUUCUAAAUAAAUCCGAUUGAAUAACUGAUGAGUUCAUUUUCCACGUUCCGGGACCGCGUUCUGGUUCAUUCGUUUUUAAUUUCAUGAACACACCGUCAUGGUCACUGAACGGAAAAUAAACUAAUUUUACCUGUUGUGAUUUAUAUUGAAGCUCACUACUAAUAAAUAUAUAAUCAAUUCGUGACCUUGAAUU
rnacentral:lncRNA from 1 species